rnacentral:rRNA from 1 species
AUUGAACGCUGGCGGAAUGCUUUACACAUGCAAGUCGAACGGCAGCACGGACUUCGGUCUGGUGGCGUGUGGCGAACGGGUGAGUAAUGUAUCUGAACGUGCUCAGCCGUGGGGGAUAACGUCGUGACAAUUACGCUCAUACCGCAUACGAUCUAUGGAUGACAGCGGGGGAGAGCAAGACCUCGCGCGAUUGGAUCGGCCGGUAUCAGAUUAGGUAGUUGGUGGAGUAAUGGCCCACCAAGACAACGAUCUGUAGCUGGUCUGAGAUAACGACCAGACACACUGGAACUGAGACACGGUCCAGACUGCUACGGGAGGCAGCAGUGGGGAAUUUUGGACAAUGGGCGAAAGACUGAUCCAGCCAUUCCGCGUGCAGGAUGAAGGCCCUCGGGUUGUAAACUGCUUUUGUACAGAACGAAAAGGUUUCUACUAAUACUAGGAGCUCAUGACGGUACUGUAAGAAAAAGCACCGGCUAACUACGUGCCAGCAGCCGCCGCCG